rnacentral:rRNA from 1 species
GGUGAACGCUGGCGGCGUGCCUAACACAUGCAAGUCGAUCGGAGCAGCAAUGCUUAGAGGCGAACGGGUGAGGAAAACGUAGUAACCAACCCUUUAGACUGGGAUAGCCACUGGAAACGGUGGGUAAUACCGGAUAAGCUCGAGAGAGGAAAGGCAGAGAAGCGCUAAGGACGGAACUGCGCCCAUCAGAUAGUUGGUGAGGUAAAGGCUUACCAAGUCAAAGACGGGAAACCGACGUGAGAGCGUGUACGGUCACAAGGGCACUGAGAGACGGGCCCUACUCCUACGGGAGGCAGCAGGUGGGGAAUAUUGGACAAUGGACGAAAGUCUGAUCCAGCGACGCCGCGUGGAGGAAGAAGUCCUUCGGGAUGUAAACUCAUGAAGCUAACGAAUAAGACGGAAGGGGAACCUUCCGGGAGAAGGUAAUUAGUGAAAAGCCCCGGCUAACUACGUG